rnacentral:sRNA from 1 species
UAAGCAAGUACCGUAACAUCCUUCAAAGC